rnacentral:rRNA from 1 species
UAGGGAAUCUUCGGCAAUGGGGGCAACCCUGACCGAGUAACGCCGCGUGAGUGAAGAAGGUUUUCGGAUCGUAAAGCUCUGUUGUAAGAGAAGAACGUGUGUGAGAGUGGAAAGUUCACACAGUGACGGUAACUUACCAGAAAGGGACGGCUAACUACGUGCCAGCAGCCGCGGUAAUACGUAGGUCCCGAGCGUUGUCCGGAUUUAUUGGGCGUAAAGCGAGCGCAGGCGGUUUAAUAAGUCUGAAGUUAAAGGCAGUGGCUUAACCAUUGUUCGCUUUGGAAACUGUUAAACUUGAGUGCAGAAGGGGAGAGUGGAAUUCCAUGUGUAGCGGUGAAAUGCGUAGAUAUAUGGAGGAACACCGGUGGCGAAAGCGGCUCUCUGGUCUGUAACUGACGCUGAGGCUCGAAAGCGUGGGGAGCAAACAGG